CCCAUUGACAUUUCACAUAAAUUACACAAUUAAUUAUGUGGCUUUCCCUGUGCUCCCUAAACACUUGACCCUUUCUUCUGGGGUCAGGUCGGAGGUACUAGCUGGUUGUUUCCCCCAGUGCUGGCUUUUCUUUCAUUAUUUCACCUGCAGGCGGCUCAGUCCGAGCAGCGGGGUCUUUUUGACUGCAGCAGACGAUUGGCUCAGCCCCGGGACAAGCGCUCAUCAUCCUGAGAGCCGGUGCCUUCACAGCAGGGACGAGCUUCACAGUGACAGGCGAUUUGAAAAUCACAGCGGAAACCUCUCUGAAGAGUACAGAGCUCAAUUCUUCAACAGGAAGCUCUUCCAACAAAGAAUUUACACUAAAAGGACUUUUGGCAGUGUUAUGAUUCCUUUGGUGUAAAUAACUGAAACUGUAAUACUGUGCGAUGAUGUUGUCAAAUUAAAGAGUUCAGAAUGUUAA